AUGCUUUCAUCAGCCCCUCUGAGCUGGGGCUCAAGUUCCCCGAUCCGGACUCACCUCGAGGAUGAGUGGGGGUCUCCCUCCUUUCCGUGGGGGUCCCCUGCAGAGCCCCUGCCACGUUGGGGUCCCCUUUGUGCCGUGGGGCACCCUGAGCCAGGGAGGGGCGGGCAGCUCCGUCCCCAACACCGCCCGCUGCCAGCAGCGCCUUCCGGCUCAGGUCCAUCAGUGCCUUCCCAAAGAACGCCUCCUGCAAGGUGGAAGCCACUGUCAGUACCCCAGCACCCUCACCAUGCAGCCCUGUGCCAUCCCAUCACCUCCACCCCGGCCAGAACAGUUCCCCCAUCUUUCCUAUCCCCAUUUGUUCCCACAUCCAACCUCAUUCCCAUCUGCCCAUCCCACCUGCAGGUAUGGAGGGAACAUGUCUUCCAGUUUGCUCUUUUUCCGUGCACGGCGUUUCUUCUUCUCGUCCCCCUCAGCCGAGCUCGGAUCCAGGCCACCCUCUGCAGGGAGGUCCCCUGGUGCUCCUAUAAACAGCAUUACCAUCCCUGUUAUCACCUUUCCUCGAGGCUGUCCCUACACUGCAGAAGAGCUCGGGUAUGGCACUAUCACAGCGCUCCAAAAUGCACCCUCCAGUCUCUCUCCAUCCCCUGGGGAUGGGGGGACACCAUAAAGGGGGUGGCGGGACAGGCUCUGUGGGUCCUACCAUCCUCCGGGUGCCCCUCUGCGCUCAGCCCCUCACGUCCCACUUCAGCCAGCACUGCUGGGACCUUCUUCAGGCGGGUGUGGGACUUGCGCUGCCGCACCAUGAAGCCACCAAUGCCUGGGGACAGAGGAGCACGCAGAGGUCACGGUGGGUCCAGGGAGGUCCUGGGCUGUGGGCAGCCAUGGGCAGCACUCACCAGGUCGGUAUGGUUUGCGCUUCCUCUUCUUGCACUCAUCCGGGUCCUCCAGCCCCUUCCCCGAGUCCACAUCAGCCCCCACAUCACGGUCGGGGCUGGCUGGAGCCUCCAGCUUGAUCUCACACUCCAUGUGCUCCACACUCACUGCCAAAUAGGGAAAGCACAUCAGCAGGGUUCUCACAGCACCCCUUUUCCCCUCAGCUUACCCACUGGGGAAGGCGCACCUUCAGCCUUGAGCAGCUCGUCAGCAUCCAGGUCACCAUCCUUCUUAUCAUCAGGACCCAGGGGGUCGCCUCCCUCCAGCCCCCCAUCCCCAUUCAGGGCUCCCAGACGAGGGGCUUUGCGCUGCCGCCGCUUGUGCAGGGGGGACAUGGUGAGGUUGCGCAGCACCGCCAUGCCCGUCUCCGUCAGCCAGACGCCCUCGAAGCGGAAAUACUGGGGCUCUGUGGGGACAAAAGCUGGCGUCGGUGGGGACAAAAGACAGCUGGGGGCACAGCCAGAUCCCCACGGGGCUGACGGCACCCACCGCAGCACCACGCGUACCUGGCUCCUUGGCCUUGGCCAACAUGUCUGGUGCAGGCGCAGGUGCUGUAAGGGGGUAAAGCAGACACAAAAGUGA
rnacentral:lncRNA from 1 species